UACAGGGGGUGCAAACGUUGCUCGGAAUCAUUGGGCGUAAAGCGCACGUAGGCGGUUCGUCGCGUCGGCUGUGAAAACCUGAGGCUCAACCUCAGGCCUGCAGUCGAUACGGGCGGACUUGAGUACUGCAGGGGGAGACUGGAAUUCCUGGUGUAGCGGUGAAAUGCGCAGAUAUCAGGAGGAACACCGGUGGCGAAGGCGGGUCUCUGGGCAGUAACUGACGCUGGAGGUGCGAAAAGCGUGGGGGAGCAAACAGG
rnacentral:rRNA from 1 species